rnacentral:rRNA from 1 species
AGUGAACGCUGGCGGUAGGCCUAACACAUGCAAGUCGAACGGCAGCACAGUAAGAGCUUGCUCUUACGGGUGGCGAGUGGCGGACGGGUGAGGAAUACAUCGGAAUCUACUUUUUCGUGGGGGAUAACGUAGGGAAACUUACGCUAAUACCGCAUACGACCUACGGGUGAAAGCAGGGGAUCUUCGGACCUUGCGCGAUUGAAUGAGCCGAUGUCGGAUUAGCUAGUUGGCGGGGUAAAGGCCCACCAAGGCGACGAUCCGUAGCUGGUCUGAGUGGAUGAUCAGCCACACUGGAACUGAGACACGGUCCAGACUCCUACGGGAGGCCGCAGUGGGGAAUAUUGGACAAUGGGCGCAAGCCUGAUCCAGCCAUACCGCGUGGGUGAAGAAGGCCUUCGGGUUGUAAAGCCCUUUUGUUGGGAAAGAAAAGCAGCAGGUUAAUACCCCGCUGUUCUGACGGUACCCAAAGAAUAAGCACCGGCUAACUUCGUG